CACGUAUUAUGUAAUAUGUUUCAAGAACUUUAGCAUUUCUACUUUAUAACAAACUUUUUAGGACCUUACUUCUACGAACAGUUUACCCAAAGACUUACAAAGCUGUAUUAAGCUAUGAGUAACCAGGAAACCAAUACAGAUCCUAAAUAUUUCUACUCCCAAAUAGAUGUAAAUUUGACUAAGCUCGUGAUAUUAAUGGAAAAGGAAAAAGUAAGUGACGUCCCUAUAACACCAUCUGCAUAUACAUACAUAAAGGUAUUUGGGGAUAUUAUACAAAAAUACCGACGUACUUAUCGUACAUUAUAGAAUUCUAAUAGCACCAGUAACAGACAAAGUAAGGAACCGCUGUAAGAUCGUUCACACCGUACUACCGCGGAACUACCGCGUGCUUAUUGAUUUUCUAUUUUGAUUUUAUACUACCCUGACACAAAGAUAUCGCCGGUAAUUUGGUGGCUAGUGAGAUGUAGAAGAAAUUUUAAACAAAUUGAGUGAAAUCGUAAAUCAUGAUCAUUCACAUCAUCACUUACCUGUACAACAUCCGAAGACACUCCAUUCCUGUUAUGAGAGUUCAAAGAAGCGCAGUCUUCGCUAGGAUGAGGCAUUCUAGUGAGAAUAGAAUUACUGUGGAUUAUCUUGAGGAAGAACUUGGGAAACAAUAAUCAAUCGCUCACAAACAUCAGCUUUUACAUGUAACAUUCGUAAACGCAGUUAUGAAUGAAUGGGAAAUUACUAGUAAUGGAUGGACCGUGUCAAAUGGAGCACGUGGGCAUCUCAGCAUACACGGUUACGUAAACCUUAGCACUUUCUCUGGCACUCCUAGCUUAUUGAUUCUGUUCACAAUACAGCAAAUAAACGAAAAUAAUAGCUACAGUUUCAACGUGGCGAAAAUUCCUGAAAGCAUUUACUUGUACUUGUGUUUUUUUCACGUUAAAUAAAAUUGAACUCAAACUAA